GCAUACCCAUCCCCCACCCCUGACUGACUUUUCAACGAACUCCUUCAACCGUCACUUUUCUGUCAUGCAUCUGACUGCAAGCUGUACAAACUCUGCCGUCAUCAUAUCCAAGGCAGUGAGUUGUGAGGACUGCUUCCCUGAGAACACUGAGUGCAUUCUGGAAUAUUCCAAAUGUGUGCCAAUUCCAUACAAAAGAAGUUUCAAUCCCGCAAGAGAGUUCACUCACCAGUGGGCUCCAUCAACAGACCAGGGCAAAGUCGGUCUGUCCUGCUACUACUACAUGCUACUUGACUAUGACUGGAAGCCAUGGCUGCUGCCCUCAACAUGCUAAACUGAAACCCUCACAAAUAAACUGAUAUCAAUAAUUAACAUUGAUGGUGAUGGUGGCAAGGGUGCCUUCAUAAGGUGCCAUCCAGCAAGUCCCAGCCUGGAGCCAGAGGCUGGCACUGCACGUUGGGGGAGGAUCUAUGUUAGGCAUCAGAAAGGUGGUUUAAGCAAGAAGGAAAGAGCUUCUGCAGACAGUGUUGCAAUUAGGUAUGAUACUUUUGGAAAUUGAUCUUAAUGCCUUAAUUAAAAAAAUUAGGAAAAAUCCAACCUUU